rnacentral:lncRNA from 1 species
UGGGCGAGCACACAAUGUCGAUCAUGGAAGGCGGCAGCACAGGGAUGUAGGUGUGCUGCCAGGUGAAGGGGUACAGGAGGGCCACUGUAGCAUGGCAGCACUUGGAGAGGGUGCUGAGCUUGUCUGCGAUGAAGAUCACCCUUCUUUCCAGGAGCAGGGAGGCGAAGACCCUGCUCAGGUGCCGCACGCUGAGGGAUGCAAACAAGGACUCAAAAUCAACGUGCUCAAGCCUGGAGUCAAGAGGCCGCCGCAGCUCAAUGACCUCUGUCCCUGAGCCUGGCAAGAAGUUCUUGACUGUAAUUG